GAUUAUGGCUCAGAACGAACGCUGGCGGCAGGCCUAACACAUGCAAGUCGAGCGCGCCCUUCGGGGUGAGCGGCGGACGGGUUAGUAACGCGUGGGAACGUACCCUUUGGUAGGGAAUAGCCACUGGAAACGGUGAGUAAUACCCUAUGAGCCCUUCGGGGGAAAGAUUUAUCGCCAAAGGAUCGGCCCGCGUUAGAUUAGGUAGUUGGUGGGGUAAUGGCCUACCAAGCCUACGAUCUAUAGCUGGUUUUAGAGGAUGAUCAGCAACACUGGGACUGAGACGCGGCCCAGACUCCUACGGGAGGCAGCAGUGGGGAAUCUUGGACAAUGGGGGCAACCCUGAUCCCAGCCAUGCCGCGUGAGUGAAGAAGGCCUUAGGGUCGUAAAGCUCUUUCGCCUGUGAAGAUAAUGACGGUAGCAGGUAAAGAAACCCCGGCUAACUCCGUGCCAGCAGCAGC
rnacentral:rRNA from 1 species